GAUGAAGAACGUAGCGAAAUGCGAUAAGUAAUGUGAAUUGCAGAAUUCAGUGAAUCAUCGAAUCUUUGAACGCACAUUGCGCCCGCCAGUAUUCUGGCGGGCAUGCCUGUUCGAGCGUCAUUUCAACCAUCAAGCCCCAGGCUUGUGUUGGAGCCCUGCGGCUGCCGCAGCCUCCCAAAACCAGUGGCGGGCUCGCUAUCACACCGAGCGCAGUAGUUUACUCUUCGCUCAGGGCGCGUGGCGGGUGCUAGCCGUAAAACCCCCAACUUCUCAAGGUUGACCUCGGAUCAGGUAGGAAUACCCGCUGAACUUAAGCAUAUCAAUAAGCGGAGGA
rnacentral:misc_RNA from 1 species